rnacentral:rRNA from 1 species
CAGCCGCCGCGGGAAUACGAAGGGGGCUAGCGUUGUUCGGAAUCACUGGGCGUAAAGGGUGCGUAGGCGGGCAUUUAAGUCAGGGGUGAAAUCCCGAGGCUCAACCUCGGAACUGCCCUUGAUACUGAAUGUCUUGGGUCCGGAAGAGGUGAGUGGAACUGCGAAUGUAGAGGUGAAAUUCGUAGAUAUUCGCAAGAACACCGGUGGCGAAGGCGGCUCACUGGUCCGGAACUGACGCUGAGGCACGACAGCGUGGGGAGCAAACAGGAUUAGAGACCCGGGUAGUCCCUGUCUCUUAUAC